AGCAGGGAUUGUGUAUGGUUACUAACUUUAACCCUGGAAUGUGGCAUUGACGGAGCUUUGUUAAAUAGUUAAAAAAGAGACUCCCAUGGAGGUUGAUGUAUUGAGAAAAGAAAUUUCAGAUACAGGAGAAAGCAAGUACAAAGUUGUAAGGUUAUGAACAGAGCUUCAGUUAUUACGUGAUGGCCAGCUGGUGGAGGGCUGUGGGUCCAAGUGCCAGUGGAGGUGGGGCUCAGGCUGUGAACGGCGCCCUCUGAAGGCCGUAUGGAGCCGCGAAAGUUCGUGCACACACGGCGUGAAAUUGAGGAUUUGUGACGCAGUACGGCCCACGAAGUAUCAACUAUUUACUGUCUGAUCCUUGAAGAAAAAGCUUGCUGACGCCUGAUGGAGAGCAAAGAUGGAUGAAGCAUAUUUUGGUUCACUCUCCUGGAAGCUGUUUGAAGGCAAGAGCAGUUGCCCAUCCAGAGAUAAUUUCACCUGAAUCAGGCCUGUAAAAGUGAAGUGCAGAACUGUGAGAGAGCCAAUCUGAAGGUGCAACACAGAUGCCUCAUUCUGCUGGAUUCCUGCAUAUGGGUCAGGAAUGAGUUAUUCUUUGUUCUAGCUGGUGCAAGAGUGAACUGUUUCUAGAGCUCAUAUGAGCUCUGGACAUUGUUCUUCCUACUGCUUUCCCAUUGUUCUUACUCUGACAUCAGGCAUGAUACUAGAGGAUUAACUUCAAAGAUAAUUUCACGGAAGUGCAAUUGGACAAAUUUCAGGACACAUUUUAUCUAUAGCCCUGUAUACAAUCAUGGCCUUAACAAGUAUCUAUCCCAAGGAGUUCAACUGAAGGAAAACUAUUUCUGAAACCAAGAAAAGGAAGACAUCCUACAAGAAGAAGACUUAUUGUGACUUAAUAAGUUUACAAGACUGAACAUGAUUUAUAUCUGAGUGUCUUCACAGUUUUGUUUGUUUCUAACUAUACAGUGGCCACAGGACUGGAAAAGGUCAGUUUUCAUUCCAAUCCCUAAGAAAGGCAAUCCCAAAGAAGGCUCAAACUACUGCACAAUUGCACUCA